rnacentral:lncRNA from 1 species
AUGCUUUCCCAUUUGUUGUCACCAAGGCAGAGGGCAACAAAAUCCAGAAAGCGCUGGAAACGCGUAGGAAUAAUAAUGACAUCCAGAGGGAGAAAAGGGAACACAAACGGAAAGACUGGUACAAGGCUAAAAAAAAAAUCUUUCGUUUCCAGACUUGUAAAACAACCUCUUAGGAGCUGCAUUUCCAUGGCACUGGUGGUUUCGCAGCACAGAUGUGACUUCACAUCUUCACAAGCUUCAACCCUAAGCUUCACAGGGAAAGGAAACAGAAACAGUCGAAGGACCAAGGUUGUGUGCCAAGUCCCAGCUGGGAUUUCUGCAUGACUUCAGGGCUAUGUAUUUCCGAGAGGAUGAUUCUGAAAUCUCAUUUUUUGUAACAUCUUCACCACCAACAACAUUCAAUGAAGGGGAAAAGACGAUGGAGGGGGAGAAGGGAUAGAUCAAAAAGCAAAAGCCAUGGGCAGGCAGUCCCAAAUUCCAGAUUCAGACUCUACAAAACCUGGGCGACUUUUUCAUUCUGGAGUCAGACCUGAACACCAGAAAAAAUUUACCCUAUUUCAGCCAAGCUGAGUUCCCUUUAUAUAACACAGUGGCAUAUCAAUAGGUACCUUAGGCAACAUGUAAUGUCUGGGUUGGACCACCUGGGAAAUGCCGCAGGGACUUGUAAUUUAGGAGCCAGACUGCUGGUUAGAUGGGCACAUUCUCCGAAGAGGCCCACGAAAUCAGCUUUUAGCAGUACGUUGCCCACACUUGACAUUUUAUUAAAGCCUCAGCUCAGCAAGGCAUGUAAUUACCUGGGCUUUUCCAUUUUCAUUUUUAACAAGUCCAAAAUGAAGUCCAAAUAAAGUAAAAUUUUAGCCCUUCCGAUCGUGGGGG